rnacentral:rRNA from 1 species
GAGUUUGAUCCUGGCUCAGAACGAACGCUGGCGGCAGGCUUAACACAUGCAAGUCGAGCGCCCCGCAAGGGGAGCGGCAGACGGGUGAGUAACGCGUGGGGAACAUACCCUUUGGUUCGGAAUAACUCAGGGAAACUUGAGCUAAUACCGGAUACGUCCGUAAGGAGAAAGAUUUAUCGCCAAAGGAUUGGCCCGCGUCCGAUUAGCUAGUUGGUGAGGUAACGGCUCACCAAGGCUACGAUCGGUAGCUGGUCUGAGAGGAUGAUCAGCCACAUUGGGACUGAGACACGGCCCAAACUCCUACGGGAGGCAGCAGUGGGGAAUAUUGGACAAUGGGCGCAAGCCUGAUCCAGCCAUGCCGCGUGAGUGAUGAAGGCCUUAGGGUUGUAAAGCUCUUUUGUCCGGGAAGAUAAUGACUGUACCGGAAGAAUAAGCCCCGGCUAACUUCGUGCCAGCCG